rnacentral:misc_RNA from 1 species
GAUGAGACGCAGCGAAAUGCGAUACGUAAUGUGAAUUGCAAAUUCAGUGAAUCAUCGAGUCUUUGAACGCACAUUGCGCCCCCUGGUAUUCCGGGGGGCAUGCCUGUCCGAGCGUCAUUGCUGCCCUCAAGCACGGCUUGUGUGUUGGGCCCCGUCCUCCGAUCCCGGGGGACGGGCCCGAAAGGCAGCGGCGGCACCGCGUCCGGUCCUCGAGCGUAUGGGGCUUUGUCACCCGCUCUGUAGGCCCGGCCGGCGCUUGCCGAUCAACCCAAAUUUUUAUCCAGGUUGACCUCGGAUCAGGUAGGGAUACCCGCUGAACUUAAGCAUAUCAAUAAGCGGAGGA